rnacentral:rRNA from 1 species
CCUACGGGAGGCAGCAGUGAGGAAUAUUGGUCAAUGGACGAGAGUCUGAACCAGCCAAGUAGCGUGAAGGAUGACUGCCCUAUGGGUUGUAAACUUCUUUUAUAUGGGAAUAAAACGUUCCACGUGUGGGAUUUUGUAUGUACCAUAUGAAUAAGGAUCGGCAAACUCCGUGCCAGCAGCCGCGGUAAUACGGAGGAUCCGAGCGUUAUCCGGAUUUAUUGGGUUUAAAGGGAGCGUAGGUGGAUUGUUAAGUCAGUUGUGAAAGUUUGCGGCUCAACCGUAAAAUUGCAGUUGAAACUGGCAGUCUUGAGUACAGUAGAGGUGGGCGGAAUUCGUGGUGUAGCGGUGAAAUGCUUAGAUAUCACGAAGAACUCCGAUUGCGAAGGCAGUUCACUGGACUGCAACUGACACUGAGGCUCGAAAGUGUGGGUAUCAAACAGGAUUAGAUACCCGUGUAGUC